rnacentral:sRNA from 2 species
AGUUGAAUAGCGCUGAAUUUUCGUUAGGAAAAGCGGGGGAACCAACACUUUGGCAUCAUGCCAAUGGGGUGAAUCGUAUUGUUUACGUAGGGCUAUCCCACAGUCCGAAUCCGACAGCUAACCUCGUAAGCUUGGGUGGUUACAUGA